UGGAAAAUGGGAACAGGCAAUUAA
rnacentral:piRNA from 1 species